rnacentral:tRNA from 1 species
GUCAACGUAGCUUAAUACCAAAGCAUGACACUGAAGAUGUCAAGAUGAAUCCUAAAAAAUUUCGAUGACA